ACCCCGCGAGAAAGACCGGGGCAAAUUCCGCACAUUUGCUUGAAGGGAAAAAAAAAAUUCUUGUACUGUGAGACUUUAAGAAGCACAAAAUGGCCGUUAGACGGGUCUUACAUUUGGUGCAUUGACCGGGAAUCGUCCUGCUGGCGGGGCCAGUGACAGGAGACCCGAGGAUUGUUCGAGCAGGUUAAAAGGCCUGCAGGUGGUGCAGAGAGAAGUGUGAUCACAGCCGGCAGCUGCAUAUGAGCCUGGUACUCCUAAGACAUCGCAUCAGUUCCAGGUUGGAGAUUCAUUCUACGUAAGGCGAUAUCGUGCCCAGAGGCUCGAGCUCCAUUGGAAAGGACCCUAUCUAGUACUGCUAACUACUCCAACGGCUGUCAAAGUGGACGGAAUUGCUGCCUGGAUACAUGCCUCACAUGUGAAGCCUGCCCCCUUAGCUGAGACCAGAAGACCACCCUGUCUGGAAGGCCCAGGCUACGGAGAACCCUCUGAAAGUGAAGAUCGUCAAAGGGUCCAAAAAUGCAAGCCCUUCCCCUGGUACUGUAUCUUAGUUUCUUCUCCUUAUGUUCUGCAGACCUUGGUCCCCUCCAGCCACGCAACCUAACGUGGCAGGUGAUAUCAGGGGCUGGAGACACUAUUUGGAGUCUAUCCAAGGUUACCACUCCAUCUACCUGGUGGCCUGACCUUUUCCCUGACGUCUGUAAGUUGGCUAUAGGAGCUCAGAGGGCACCUUCAACACCCCCUCCGUAUGUAGAAAAACAUCCGAGAGACCCAUGGGGUGGUUGCUCUAACCAAAGGGAUAGAAGCAUGCUUCGAAUCCACCCCUUCUAUGUCUGCCCCGGGCCCCACCGAAGUCAGUCCCUCAAUUCAAAAUGCGGAGGUAAGACUGACUUCUUCUGCAAGAGCUGGGGUUGCGAGACUUCAGGUGAAGUCUACUGGAAGCCCUCCUCGAGCUGGGACUAUAUUAAAGUAACAGCCAACUAUUCCCUAGAGUCUUACGUACCUGGAGGAUUUGACCUAGACGAGUGUACCGACUGGUGCCAUCCGCUCCGUGUCACCUUCACUGAACCAGGGAAAAGAGCUCUAGAAUGGACAAAAGGAUACACCUGGGGUCUUAGGCUUUACAAGGAAAGAUAUGAUGAGGGAUUAUUGUUCACUAUCAGAUUAAAAAUAGAGACCCCCUACAAUACUUUAGGCCCCAACAAAGUCUUGGCCCCAGAUGAGAUAAAUCUCAGGCCAACACCCCCUUCUAGUUCCAGGCCAACACCCCCACCCAAUUCUCGAGAUACUGUGGCUCCUUCAAAAAGGAUCACGGAGACUGUUUCCCUUUAAUUGCCUGGGCAAUCUUGUUUAACUCAAUCUAGUUCAAGAAGCUUUCAGAGUUAUCAACAGCACCAAUCCUGAAGCCACUAAAUCAUGUUGACUCUGUUUAUGAUGUGGCUCCUCCUUACUAUGAAGGCAAGGUAUUUAUAAAAAUGCUCAAAUCACUCUGAUGAUGCCACAACAUACCAGUGGCAGCAGCAGAGCGCCAGACUUAACCUUGUCAGCUAUAACUGGGCAGGGACUGUGUGUGGGAAAAGUUCAGUCUUGUUGGGGGUGGGGCUGGGAAUGGCAGGGGAUGCUACAGGAUCAUCUGCACUGGCCUUGCAGACCCAGAGUUAGCAAAGUCUGAGGGCUGCCAUAGAUGCUGAUAUUGUAGAGAUGGAAAACUCCAUCUCUAAGCUCCAGGAGUCUCUGACCUCGCUGUCAGAAGCGGUCCUCCAAAAUAGGAAAGGCUUGGAUCUCCUGUUCCUCCAACAAGAUCUGUGUGCAGCCCUAAAAGAAGAAUGCUGCUUCUACAUAGACCACUCUGGAGUGGUAAAAGAUUCGAUGGCCAAAGUGUGAGAGGGGCUGGCGAAAAGAGAGAAAGAGAACAGAACCAAGGGUGGUUUAACCUUGGUUUAACUCUUCCCCGUGGCUCACCACCCUGACUUCUAUCCUUCUGGGACCAUUGCUAAGCCUGAUGUUGCUUUUAACUUUUGGUCCCUGCAUUUUAAAUUGCUUGCUAGCUUUUAUUAGAGAACACAUAGGCACAGUUCAGAUUGUAAUGCUGAGACAGCAGUAUCAAGAGUUAAGUCAGAGUGAACAGUAAUUUCAUGAUUGAAAUACAAGAAAAAGGGGGGAAUGCGAGAGUUUAAGAAGCACAAAAUGGCUGCUAGACUGAGGAUCUUGCCAGAAAUAAGACUUCGGGUACAGAAGGAUUAUGACUAACUCCUCUUCCCAGAAUGUCCCAGAAAAACAGGAAGGCCUUUACUGCAGAGCAGGGUGGGCCAGGUGCAGAUAAUUCAGUUCCCUUUGAAGAUAACAAAGACUUCACCCCACUUAGAACAACCAAUGCCUAGAAAGGUCUACUAAUAAGCUUUAACCAACUCAUACUGUUGCUGAAGUCUGCCCCCAAGAACUGUAUAAAAGAUGUAUGCUUGAAAUGUUCACGGUAGCCUCUGCCCUGAUUGCAGGUUGGCCCCAAUGCACUGGAUCAUUAAACCUCUUGCUUGUUUCAUCAAUCUCCAUCUCUGUUUCUGUGAAUGGGACUCCCUGGACGUAAGGCUCUAGGGUCUUACAGUACCACUUUUGGAAAUGGAUGAUUUAACCUGGACAACUAGUUCCCUAUGACUGGAAGACUAAUUUGCAAUGAAAAGGAAACCUUUUUCCUGUUGUCUAUCAUGCAAGUAACCUCCCAUGGUUACAGUAUCCGAAGAAAGAGGUAUGCAGACUGCACCAGAAUUGUCACUACAAUGCUAAAAUUAGUGAGAAGGUCCUGUGGUACUUUGUAUGUUUUUCCUUGAUGUUCAAGGCUUUCUCGGAUAGAAUCUGAGAUGGAUAAUCUCUCCAGAUCACAUCGAUCUAAUAAGAGUUCACCUAACUUACAUAACAUUUUAUUCCUUGCCAAGAAGUACAAUUUCCUCAAUUAUAAGGGGUUUAACCACGUCCUUGACUAAUUUCUUGGCCAUUAGAUUGUUUUAAUAGAUAUUCUAUUAUUGUUGUUGUUGUUUGUAGCCUAACCUUGAUCCAACUAAUAGAAACUCCAAAAGGCAAAACUGUGAAGUACUUUUCUUCAGUUAAGUAGAGAGCAAGACUGGUUGUUUUCCCUGCUUUCUUUUGGUUAUGCAGCUUCCUAAAAUGAUGGAAUUUGUAAUCAUAAAAUAUAUUACCUUUGACAUAGUGAGCUCAAUGCCCUUAAUUUAUCCUAAAAGCAUAUUCUAAAAGUGAAUUCCUCAGUUGACAAGUGUCAGUUGUAACACUGAAAAUUUAUAGUCUUUAGUCUAGUAAUGGGGUACAAGUUCUGAUUUAUCAGUUCAAUAGAUUAUUCAAUAAAAUGAUUUUUAAAAAUAAGCUGUUUCCAAGAAAAAAAUAUGUCCUAUGACACUGGUUUUAUAAAAGCAGACUCCAGGAUCUGAAGAGGCUGGACCAGUGGUUAAGAGCAUUUGCUUCUCUUGUACAGGACCCAGGUUACGUUCCUAACACCCACAUGGGGACUCCUAGCCAUCGGUAACGACAAUUCCUAGGGUUCCAUGGUCUUACUCUCCUUUCAUUUAUGUGACCUUAAGGAAAGGGAUAUAUUAAAGCCCCAGAACUAGGGUGUCCUAGAUUCUAACUCCCUCCUGGUAAUUUUACAUUAACAGUUGUGAAAGAAAACAUAAAAACUACAGUUCAUUGGUAAAGAAUGAAUGUUUAUAAAUCAAUAUCCAAAAUAGUUGCACACAUCUGUUUUGACUUGAAUAAAAAAAAUCACAUUGUGACAAAGUUUAUAACCUUAACUUAAGAUAUAUGGAUAUUAACAUUUACUAAUAUUAUUUACAUAUUUUAUUUACAUCAUCAACAAAUUGGAUGAAAAACAGGCUAUGUUAUUACUUUAACACAGUAGGUUAUAACUAGUCUUUGAAAAUUGAUCCACAAAAUGUGUACUGUAUUUCAUUACAAAACAUACUUCAAAUAAUUCAGAAUUCCUAAAGGAUUCUACUAUUCACAGAAAAUAUUCCAGAAAGGUCUCAUUUACAAACAGAACAGGAGCAGUUGUAUUUAAUCUUAAGAGACUACAGAACUGCCUCAUUUAAAAAUAGGAAAAUUCUUGUGGUAUAUCUUUGAAGCGUAUUCUUUUACUCUUCACAUCAAAAUUAAUUGAACAUUAAGCAUCUAAUAAAAAGUUAUAUAUAUUCC
ensembl:antisense Brip1os BRCA1 interacting protein C-terminal helicase 1, opposite strand